CUUGGUCAUUUAGAGGAAGUAAAAGUCGUAACAAGGUCUCCGUUGGUGAACCAGCGGAGGGAUCAUUACCGAGUUUACAACUCCCAAACCCCUGUGAACAUACCUAUACGUUGCCUCGGCGGAUCAGCCCGCGCCCUGUAAAAAGGGACGGCCCGCCCGAGGACCCUAAACUCUGUUUUUAGUGGAACUUCUGAGUAAAACAAACAAAUAAAUCAAAACUUUCAACAACGGAUCUCUUGGUUCUGGCAUCGAUGAAGAACGCAGCGAAAUGCGAUAAGUAAUGUGAAUUGCAGAAUUCAGUGAAUCAUCGAAUCUUUGAACGCACAUUGCGCCCGCCAGUAUUCUGGCGGGCAUGCCUGUUCGAGCGUCAUUUCAACCGUCAAGCCCCCGGCUUGUGUUGGGGACCUGCGGCUGCCGCAGGCCCUGAAAACCAGUGGCGGGCUCGCUAGUCACUCCGAGCGUAGUAAUACAUCUCGCUCAGGGCGUGCUGCGGGUUCCGGCCGUUAAAAAGCCUUAUUUACCCAAAGGUUGACCUCGGAUCAGGUAGGAAUACCCGCUGAACUUAAGCAUAUCAAUAAGCGGAGGA
rnacentral:misc_RNA from 1 species